GAUGAACGCUGGCGGCGUGCUUAACACAUGCAAGUCGAACGGAAAGGCCCCUGCUCGCAGGGUCACUUGAGUGGCGAAUGGGUGAGUCACAAGAAGGUGCUCUGCCCUGCACUACGGGAUCUGCCUGCGGAACCGGGUACAACACCGGAUAGGACGCUGGAUGGGAAGUCCUCCCGGAAAGUUGCUACGGUGUGGGAUGAGCUCGCGGCGUAUCAGCUGGUUGGUGGGGUAUUGGCCUACCAUGGUGUCGACGGGUAGCCGGCCUGAGUGGGUGUACGGCCACAUUGGGGCUGAGGUACGGCGCAGACUCCUACGACAGGCAGCAGUGGUGAAUAUUGCACAAUGGGCGCAAGCCGGAUGCAGCGGCGCCGCGUGGGGGAUGACGGCCUUCGGGUUGUAGACUCCUUUCGCUAGGGACGAAGCACAAGUGACGGUACCUGGAGAAGAAGCACCGGCUAACUACGUG
rnacentral:rRNA from 1 species